UACGGGGGGUGCGAGCGUUGUCCGGAAUCACUGGGCGUAAAGGGCGCGUAGGUGGCAUGAUAAGGGUGUGGUGAAAGCCCGGGGCUCAACCCCGGGUCGGCCAUGCCGACUGUCACGCUGGAGUACUGUAGGGGCAGGCGGAAUUCCGGGUGUAGCGGUGGAAUGCGUAGAGAUCCGGAGGAACGACCGGUGGCGAAGGCGGCCGCUGGGCAGGUACGUGACACAUGCG
rnacentral:rRNA from 1 species